rnacentral:tRNA from 1 species
GCCUGGGUGGCUCAGUCAGUUGAGCGUCUGACUUUGGCUCAGGUCAUGAUCUCAUGGUUUGUGGGUUUGAGCCCUGCAUCAGGCU